UACGUAGGGUGCGAGCGUUGUCCGGAAUUAUUGGGCGUAAAGGGCUCGUAGGCGGUUUGUCGCGUCGGGAGUGAAAACCCAGGGCUUAACUCUGGGCUGGCUUUCGAUACGGGCAGACUAGAGGCAUGCAGGGGAGAACGGAAUUCCUGGUGUAGCGGUGAAAUGCGUAGAUAUCUGGAGGAACACCGGUGGCGAAGGCGGCAUCCUGGACCGGUAUUGACGCUGAGGAGCGAAAGCCAGGGGAGCAAACGGG
rnacentral:rRNA from 1 species